AAAAAAAAAAAAGAACAUACAAAAUGAUGAAGAAGGAGAGCUCUUCAAGAUUUAAUCGGGCGUAUGUUCUCGUUGGUUGUUUGAUUGCAUUUAUUGUCGUUCUCUUCGUCAUGAGAAUGUCCUAUUCUGCUGAUGUCAAUGAAGAGGAGAAGGAGGAGAGAACCGUCCGAGGAGAGACGGUUGAAAGAGGAGUGGACAAUUUU
rnacentral:ribozyme from 13 species